rnacentral:rRNA from 1 species
GACGAACGCUGGCGGCGUGCUUAACACAUGCAAGUCGAACGGAAAGGCCCUGCUUUUGUGGGGUGCUCGAGUGGCGAACGGGUGAGUAACACGUGAGUAACCUGCCCUUGACUUUGGGAUAACUUCAGGAAACUGGGGCUAAUACCGGAUAGGCGCUCCUGCUGCAUGGUGGGGGUUGGAAAGUUUCGGCGGUUGGGGAUGGACUCGCGGCUUAUCAGCUUGUUGGUGGGGGAGUGGCUUACCAAGGCUUUGACGGGUAGCCGGCCUGAGAGGGUGACCGGCCACAUUGGGACUAAGAUACGGCCCAGACUCCUACGGGAGGCAGCAGUGGGAAAUAUUGCACAAUGAGCGGAAGCCUGAUGCAGCAACGCCGCGUGCGGGAUAACGGCCUUCGGGUUGUAAACCGCUUUCGCCUGUGACGAAGCAUGAGUGACGGUAAUGGGUAAAGAAGCACCGGCUAACUACGUG